rnacentral:tRNA from 1 species
CGUGACCUAAUGGCUAAGGUAUCACCUUCCGAAGGCGGGGAUCGAGGGUUCGAGUCCCCUCG